rnacentral:rRNA from 1 species
UAGGGAAUCUUCGGCAAUGGGGGCAACCCUGACCGAGCAACGCCGCGUGAGUGAAGAAGGUUUUCGGAUCGUAAAGCUCUGUUGUAAGAGCAGAACGUGUGUGAGAGUGGAAAGUUCACACAGUGACGGUAACUUACCAGAAAGGGACGGCUAACUACGUGCCAGCAGCCGCGGUAAUACGUAGGUCCCGAGCGUUGUCCGGAUUUAUUGGGCGUAAAGCGAGCGCAGGCGGUUUUAUAAGUCUGAAGUUAAAGGCAGUGGCUUAACCAUUGUUCGCUUUGGAAACUGUUAAACUUGAGUGCAGAAGGGGAGAGUGGAAUUCCAUGUGUAGCGGUGAAAUGCGUAGAUAUAUGGAGGAACACCGGUGGCGAAAGCGGCUCUCUGGUCUGUAACUGACGCUGAGGCUCGAAAGCGUGGGGAGCAAACAGG